rnacentral:rRNA from 1 species
AAGAAAGUUACUAAGGGUGUAUGGCGGAUGCCUUGGCUCUGAGAGGCGAUGAAGGACGUGACAAGCUGCGUUAAGCUACGAUUAGGUGCCAAUAACCUGUGAGUCGUAGAUUUCCGAAUGGGGCAACCCAGCAUACUGAAGGUAUGUUACCCGAAAGGGGGCAAACCCGGCGAACUGAAACAUCUAAGUAGCCGGAGGAAGAGAAAAUAAUAAUGAUUCUCCUAGUAGUGGCGAGCGAACGGGGAACAGCCCAAACCGAUAUUGUUUCGGCAAUGUCGGGGUUGUAGGACUGCAAUGUGGACUUAGUAUUUAUAGUAGAACCAUCUGGAAAGUUGGACCAUAGAGGGUGAUAGUCCCGUAGACGAAAUGAAUACUAUACCUAGCAGUAUCCUGAGUAGCACGAAACAGGUGAAAUUUUGUGUGAAUCUGCCGGAACCAUCCGGUAAGGCUAAAUACUCCUCAGAGACCGAUAGUGAACUAGUACCGUGAGGGAAAGGUGAAAAGUACUCCGAACAGGAGAGUGAAAUAGUACCUGAAACCAUACACUUACAAGCUGUAGGAGCCCUUCGGGGUGACUGCGUGCCUUUUGCAUAAUGAGCCUACGAGUUACUCCUCACUAGCAAGGUUAAGGUUUUAAGAACCGCAGCCGAAGCGAAAGCAAGUCUGAAUAGGGCGUUUAGUUAGUGGGGGUAGACGCGAAACCAUGUGAUCUACCCAUGGCCAGGUUGAAGCUCUGGUAACACAGAGUGGAGGACCGAACCAGUUGACGUUGAAAAGUCUUUGGAUGAGCUGUGGGUAGGGGUGAAAGGCCAAUCAAACUUGGAAAUAGCUCGUACUCCCCGAAAUGUAUUUAGGUACAGCCUUGAGUUAUAGUGAUAUAGAGGUAGAGCUACUGAUAGGGCUAGGGGGCUUCACCGCCUACCAACCCCUGACAAACUCCGAAUGCUAUAUCAUGUUCCUCAGGAGUGAGGGCGCGGGUGCUAAGGUCCGUGUCCGAGAGGGAAACAACCCAGAUCAUCAGCUAAGGUCCCUAAAUGUAUGUUAAGUUGUUCAAACGUGGUCCGAUUGCUUAGACAGCUAGGAUGUUGGCUUGGAAGCAGCCAUUCAUUUAACGAGUGCGUAACAGCUCACUAGUCGAGCGAUUGGGCGUGGAUAAUAAUCGGGCAUAAAACAUACUACCGAAGCUAUGAGAUCGAAAGAUCGGUAGGGGAGCAUUCUAAUUGUGUUGAAGGUGUACUGCGAGGUAUGCUGGAACGCUUAGAAAAGAAAAUGUAGGCAUAAGUAACGAUAAAGCGGGCGAGAAACCCGCUCACCGAUAGACUAAGGUUUCCUGAUCAACGCUAAUCGGAUCAGGGUUAGUCGGGUCCUAAGGCAAACCCGAAAGGGGUAGUCGAUGGAUAACAGGUUAAUAUUCCUGUACUAGCAUUUAUUGCGAUGGGGUGACGGAGUAGUGAAAGGACUGCGUACUGACGGAAUAGUACGUUAAAGGGUGUAGGUAUAAGAACUGUAGGUAAAUCCGCAGAUCUUGCUGAACCUGAUAGUACCGCGAGCCUUCGGGCAAGCGGAUAAUGUCCCUAAUCAGACUUCCAAGAAAAACCUCUAAGCUUCAGAUAAAUGCUACCCGUACCGCAAACCGACACAGGUAGUCAAGGAGAGAAUCCUAAGGUGCUCGAGUGAUUCGUGGUUAAGGAACUAGGCAAAAUAGCCCUGUAACUUCGGGAGAAAGGGCGCCAUCAGCAAUGAUGGCCGCAGUGAAAAGAUCCAAGCGACUGUUUAUCAAAAACACAUGGCUUUGCUAAAUCGAAAGAUGAUGUAUAAGGCCUGACACCUGCCCGGUGCUGGAAGGUUAAAAGGAGAUGUUAUCUUCGGAGAAGCAUUGAAUUGAAGCCCCAGUAAACGGCGGCCGUAACUAUAACGGUCCUAAGGUAGCGAAAUUCCUUGUCGGGUAAGUUCCGACCUGCACGAA